CACCGCCUAGCAACCAAAUACCAGCAAUGACAAUCUUUGCUCGUAACUUGCUCGGCCUGGCACUGAAAAACACAAUAAGAACUCGGAAAACGGGUAACGACAUAGAACUUGGCCAUCAUUGUUAGAAUGGAAUACGUCGUGAUCAUAAUAUUCAAGAUGGGAGCUGUAAUAAGGUGAUGAUGAAAGAUGUCUCGUAAUAACCCCGAGCAACUAAACUGUCGAUCUCGUACGACGUAAGCUCUGAUCGAUGGUGGAUUU